rnacentral:lncRNA from 1 species
AAGAAAAUACCGGUAUUCUGUUCCAAAUUAGGCUUGUAAUUAGAGUUACCAAUGGUAAGGAUUGGCGUGGGUUUAGAGUGGGUAGCCCGCUCGCUAUCUAUGUCUUUCAUUCCCAUGGAUUGGAAAACAUCUUACUCGCCAUGGGGCGAAACUUCUCAUCGUCAGCCUAAGUGAUUGUUUCUGUAAGCUAGAGAGAAGUACCCUUGAUUGGGUGCUUCGAACGCCCUUCGGGAAGUGAAAGUGAAGGUUGAUCAAUAGCUUGAAUCAGGACGAUGCCGCUUAGAAAAGUCUUCUUUCUUCCUUUUCAUUGUGACUCAAAAGCCACAAACAAGGGUUACUAUUCAGGAGUGGAAUUGCAUUCUGUACAAUGGGCAUUUUCAUUUCUCUUUCUGUGCUAUGGCUAUGGUUGACUUCUGUCUCUCGACAUGUAGAGAAGCUGAUCAAAAGGAAAUAGUCUUCCAGAUGGCAAAUAUGUGAACCAUAAACCGUAGAUUUACCACCAAUUGUGACUCAGGGAGAUGAAAGGUAGAGAAUGGCUUAUUCGUAAAAGAAGGCUCCCAGCCAAAUAUAGAAUAGAAAGGAAGGGGCAUCCCCGUGAGAAAACCAGGUGGUGUUACUUUCCUGCUUCCACCUGAACCUGCUUGCAGGCCUUAUAGAAAAGUCUUGUAUAAGAUAACUAGCUUGACAACAGGAAUUCUCUAACUUACUUGUAGAUAACGAACUUGCUGAAGGAGGUUAAGAUAGUUUUCCGUUAAUGGGGAGAGAGAAAAAGAGUCCUCGCUUUCAUAAUCGGUAAUCAGAGUCCAGGCUUCCAAAAGCCAUAUUUUACGACAACCUAUGAACCGACUAACUCAACAGCUGGCCUUAGAGAAACUGUCCUAACUUAUCCAAAUAAAUAGCCAUGAUGAAAUACUCUUCCUUUCCCUGCGGCACUCGCUUGAAGGACUCGAAAGCUGACUAAUGCUGAUAGGAAAACAGAGCUUCCUUCAAACGCUGAUCGAUACCAUCCACCAGAAGAAAACGUGACCGCAACUACUUCCCGAAUCAACACCGUCUGGAGGCUUUGCAUCUGUAUUUGGAGCUGGGCAUGCAUCCAUUGAUUCUAGCACUUGGAGCUUUGAACGCUCGAAAGAGAAAUACAAUCUCCGCCCUACAAGUGGAUCGAUAGGUUCAUACAUCUUGUAGUCGGUGCAGUUCUGGGAAGGAAUGGGCUAGUAUGAGUUCUGGUUUAGUCAGUAGUUCACUUCUCCCUUCUUGUCCGCUCUUGCCCACCCCUUUCACUUUCUUUCCUAAAUGUGUGACUGAUACCAAUCCCUAUGUUGUACACUCUUCCACUAACUAGAGAGAACCAUGCCUGAAGUAGAAAGAACCAAUUACAAGUGUUCAUAGUGGUCUAAUAAAAUAAACCCUGACCGUGAAGGUUCCUAGUGUUGAUACCAGUUGUUGUAGAUAAUGGAAGGAAGCAACAAAACAGAGAGAGGAUCAAGUGUAAUCUUAACUACAUCUCAGCUCUUAUACAAAAGCUUAUGUUACAAUACAUGGUACCAGUCCAAUUUAUAGAAAAUAGCAAACCGACACAAAGUCAUUAUCGACUCAAGUAACAACUAUUUCGAUUUUGUUCACAGCUCAUUCCUAGCUAAGACAUAACGGCGGGUAGGCAAACAACUUGAUUCAGGUCUAGUUUUGUUUGGACUUGGGCUUAGAUGUAGUGGGUUCUUGGGCCACUGCUUUACCUUUAUCAACCUUAGAAGGAGCAUUAGUCUUUGACACAUCAAUCAACCCGGCGUAGGAGCAUGGGAUUUGGACACAUCAGCACCAAACCUGUUGUUGAAGUCGAGUAUGAGCUUCUAUUCUAUCCAAUCGAAAGAAGAAGCAAAGGCUUUUCUCCUUAUCUUUGCAUUUAAGUUCUCGAAAGGAGAAUCGGAGGCUUUACACCUAUCUUUUCUACUUGCUUUUCGUUUUCUAAAAACAAGAGAUCUAGGAAAUGAAAGGAAUUCAUUAUCGAUAAGCUGUGGGUAGAACAGCACAACGAUAGAAACAUGAGGAAAAUCGUCUUCAUCAAGAAGAUAUUUAGCAAUUUUUUCUAUUUUCUAGGCGGAAGAGAUAAAAUAAAUAUUGUUACUGGGCUAGGAUGUUCAUUUGGGAAGGAUCUCGGAUGAAGCUCCAGAGUUCUUGACCAGUGGAGUCAAGUGGAGAAGGCGUUACUUGAUAGGAAAGCAAAUUUUUUU